rnacentral:misc_RNA from 1 species
GAUGAAGAACGCAGCGAAAUGCGAUAAGUAAUGUGAAUUGCAGAUUUCCAGUGAAUCAUCGAAUCUUUGAACGCACAUUGCGCCCUUUGGUAUUCCGAAGGGCAUGCCUGUUCGAGCGUCAUUAUCACCCCUCAAGCCCCCGGCUUGGUGUUGGACGGUUUGGUGGAGGCCCCCUCGGGGGCUCCUGCCCCUCCCAAAGACAAUGACGGCGGCCUCGUUGGACCCCCGGUACACUGAGUUCUUCACGGGACACGUAUCGGACACAUGGGUUUACGGGACACGGUCUGCCUCCCCUCAGGGAGAAUCUUUCUAAGGUUGACCUCGGAUCAGGUAGGGAUACCCGCUGAACUUAAGCAUAUCAACAAGCGGAGGA